rnacentral:misc_RNA from 1 species
AAAAAAAACGUUCAAGAAAAUAAUGUAAAGACAAAUAAGGGCUUGUUAAUUCCUAGUCUAGGAUAUCCAAAGUGGUUUGGUGUUUGACGUCAUCAGCCAAAAGAGAGCAGCCUGUAUGCUACAUACCUUUUCCAGAUCCUUACCUAGAGGUAGAUGGUGGCAAUAGUAUGAUCAGAAAUAGUCACCUGCUGUUCUUCUUGUUUAAUUUGAUGACUAAAAUUUAAAUUAUUUUUCUUGGCAGUUGUUUCUGAUAGGAGACUGACCACGUAUAUUUUUAAAUUGGCAGUAUGAUCUCUCUGUUUUUGUUAAUGUGAUAUUUAUCUGAAUGUUUAGGAUACUCAUGCAAUUAAUAUCUAAUAGUAAGUUGUGCUAUUUAUUUCAGGCACUGGACUUGAUAAGG